UUUUUUGUGUCACGUGUUAGGUGAAGAUAAAUCACAAUUAUUGUUUUUGAUUUAGUUGGUGUUUGUGCGUUUGAAAAGAUAGACAUUUUAAGGUCUUUUCGACAUUUGCUAUCUCUAAUUACAGUGCUGGAAAGAUUGCGAAUACGCUUAAUUUCUAUUGGGGCUAUCAGAGAGUUGUUCGCCAUUUCCGCCUGUUUCUUUUCGACCGGCUUGAAGUUAAGUCGCCUUUUUGCAUCCCUGAAAGAAAAAAACGUGAACCAUAUUUUUCCGAAGUAUGUACUUCGAGGUUACGUUCAAAAACAAGAUGCCAGAAAUUGACCAAAAAAUGAAUGAUUUUUUUAAAAAUAUGAAAAUAUUUCGCCGUAAUAUGCGAAAAUUCCAAACACAUUUCCGUAAAUACGAAGAAUUAUCUUGGAUUGUGCCACCAACCCGUAAUCAGGGUCCAAAUAAUAAUACACAUUCGGUUAGUAAUAUGCGAAAAUUCCAAAAACAUUUCCGUAAAUACCAAGAAUACUCUGGGAUUGUGCCACCAACCCGUAAUAUGAGUCCAAAUAAUACACAUUCGGUACACAUAAAAUCGAAAAAUACUGAUGUGCCAAGUAAUAAUGGCAACAAAGAACGUUCUCAUCGCAGGAAGCGCGAUGAAAGCAAUUCCAUGCGCCAGGAAUUUAAGCCAAAGGAUCGUAUUAAACGCCCGCGCAAAUUCAAGGUGCGCCAAUAAGAUAUCGUUUAUUUGGUGAUACAUUAAAAUUUCAAAAUCUCGACCGUCUAGUAAAGAAUUACCCAUGACAAUGAAGGAAACAAAACCCAAGAGCGUUUCUAGAAAAUUGCGAAAACACGAAAAAAACACCCUUCCAAAAGAAAUCUGAUGACAUGGCUGAACAUUAUUUCCGACCUAAAAACAUUUUACACUUAAAUUUUCUUUACACUUUUCAUGAAUGUUAAACUAACAAGUAACCAAAUAAUGUUUUUAUUUUUCAAAAAAAAAACAAAUAUUUGUACGAUAGUUGUAACAAUUUUCAAUUAAAAUGCAUUUCGAUCUGGCCUUAUUGAAAUGCAUUUCCACAUAAAUCUGUACCCACACAUAAAUAUAUGUAAAUAUUUUAAUUAGCAUUGGUCAGGACAAAAAGAGGAGCAGUCGACACUCUAAUGUGUUCCCAAUUGUGGCAACAAAUUGCAUUAAUAUUAAAUCAUUCAAAUGUUUUAUAAAUAUUUUUUUUUGAGCAAGGUGUGCAAAAGGAUCGAAUAACCAAAAUGAAAUAAUUAUUAUUUGAGGCUAGAACCAA